UACGAAGGGUGCAAGCGUUACUCGGAAUUACUGGGCGUAAAGCGCGCGUAGGCGGCCUCGUAAGUCCGUUGUGAAAGUCAAAGGCUCAACCUUUGAAAGCCGAUGGAUACUGUGAGGCUAGAGUCCGGAAGAGGCGAGUGGAAUUCCUGGUGUAGCGGUGGAAUGCGCAGAUAUCAGGAGGAACACCAAUAGCGAAGGCAGCUCGCUGGGACGGUACUGACGCUAAGGCGCGAAAGCGUGGGGAGCGAACAGG
rnacentral:rRNA from 1 species